rnacentral:rRNA from 1 species
CCUACGGGUGGCAGCAGUGGGGAAUAUUGGACAAUGGGGGCAACCCUGAUCCAGCCAUGCCGCGUGUGUGAAGAAGGCCCUCGGGUUGCAAAGCACUUUCAGUGAGGAAGAACGCCUGGUGGUUAAUACCCAUCAGGAAAGACAUCACUCACAGAAGAAGCACCGGCUAACUCCGUGCCAGCAGCCGCGGUAAUACGGAGGGUGCGAGCGUUAAUCGGAAUUACUGGGCGUAAAGCGCGCGUAGGUGGCUUGAUAAGCCGGUUGUGAAAGCCCCGGGCUCAACCUGGGAACGGCAUCCGGAACUGUCAAGCUAGAGUGCAGGAGAGGAAGGUAGAAUUCCCGGUGUAGCGGUGAAAUGCGUAGAGAUCGGGAGGAAUACCAGUGGCGAAGGCGGCCUUCUGGACUGACACUGACACUGAGGUGCGAAAGCGUGGGUAGCAAACAGGAUUAGAUACCCGGGUAGUC